rnacentral:rRNA from 1 species
UACGGAGGGUGCAAGCGUUAAUCGGAAUUACUGGGCGUAAAGCGCACGCAGGCGGUUUGUUAAGUCAGAUGUGAAAUCCCCGAGCUUAACUUGGGAACUGCAUUUGAAACUGGCAAGCUAGAGUCUUGUAGAGGGGGGUAGAAUUCCAGGUGUAGCGGUGAAAUGCGUAGAGAUCCGGAGGAACACCGACGGCGCAGGCAGCGUCCUGGCCGCUUGCUGACACUGAGGCACGAAAGCUGGGGGAGCAAACAGG